rnacentral:rRNA from 1 species
AGUGAACGCUGGCGGUAGGCCUAACACAUGCAAGUCGAACGGCAGCACAGUAAGAGCUUGCUCUUACGGGUGGCGAGUGGCGGACGGGUGAGGAAUACAUCGGAAUCUACUUUUUCGUGGGGGAUAACGUAGGGAAACUUACGCUAAUACCGCAUACGACCUGCGGGUGAAAGCAGGGGAUCUUCGGACCUUGCGCGAUUGAAUGAGCCGAUGUCGGAUUAGCUAGUUGGCGGGGUAAAGGCCCACCAAGGCGACGAUCCGUAGCUGGUCUGAGAGGAUGACCAGCCACACUGGAACUGAGGCACGGUCCAGACUCCUACGGGAGGCAGCAGUGGGGAAUAUUGGACAAUGGGCGCAAGCCUGAUCCAGCCAUACCGCGUGGGUGAAGAAGGCCUUCGGGUUGUAAAGCCCUUUUGUUGGGAAAGAAAAGCAGCAGGUUAAUACCCCGCUGUUCUGACGGUACCCAAAGAAUAAGCACCGGCUAACUUCGUG